rnacentral:rRNA from 1 species
CACGUAGGGGGCAAGCGUUGUCCGGAUUCAUUGGGCGUAAAGAGCUCGUAGGCGGUUCGAUAAGUCGGGUGUGAAACCUCCAGGCUCAACCUGGAGACGCCACCCGAUACUGUCGUGACUAGAGUCCAGUAGGGGAGCGUGGAAUUCCUGGUGUGAGCGGUGGAAAUGACGCAGAGUAUCAGGAGGAACACCAGCGGCGAAGGCGGCGCUCUGGGCUGGCACUGACGCUGAGGAGCGAAAGCGUGGGGAGCGAACAGG